rnacentral:rRNA from 1 species
GACGAACGCUGGCGGCGUGCUUAACACAUGCAAGUCGAACGGAAAGGCCCUGCUUUUGUGGGGUGCUCGAGUGGCGAACGGGUGAGUAACACGUGAGUAACCUGCCCUUGACUUUGGGAUAACUUCAGGAAACUGGGGCUAAUACCGGAUAGGAGCUCCUGCUGCAUGGUGGGGGUUGGAAAGUUUCGGCGGUUGGGGAUGGACUCGCGGCUUAUCAGCUUGUUGGUGGGGUAGUGGCUUACCAAGGCUUUGACGGGUAGCCGGCCUGAGAGGGUGACCGGCCACAUUGGGACUGAGAUACGGCCCAGACUCCUACGGGAGGGAGGAGUGGGGAAUAUUGCACAAUGGGCGGAAGCCUGAUGCAGCAACGCCGCGUGCGGGAUGACGGCCUUCGGGUUGUAACCGCUUUCGCCUGUGACGAAGCGUGAGUGACGGUAAUGGGUAAAGAAGCACCGGCUAACUACGUG